GAGGUCGCGCACCUGUAAGAAAAGUCCUCACUGAUCGGAGAUGCCUCCAGCGAGGACCCUCCGACGGUCAAGUCAGAGAGGAUACUAGGCAACAGUGAAAAAUCAGGGGCUCAAUGGGGAGAGAGAGAGAGCUAGAGAGCUCAAGAGCUUAAAGGCACUGGAGAGAGCUUACCAAAACUGUUGCUUUACCCCAUUUUAUAG
rnacentral:lncRNA from 1 species